CCACCCGUCGCUACUACCGAUCAAACAGUCCAGUGCAGUCCUCGGAUCUGGCCAACCAGUCCGCUUACGCGCAGUGGUGUUCCGCGCCGUCAUCAGCGCGUUCUCUGAUGUCCCAGAGAAGACGACCGAACCUGAUCACUUAGAGGAAGUAAAAGUCAUAAGAAG
rnacentral:rRNA from 1 species